AUUAAUAAUAAUUUGGACCAACAGAUGUAAGAUAGUUGGGGAAGAAUGUUGAAAAUACAGUAAGUAAACGAUUUUCAAAGCUUAGUUAGAAAGGGCUUUGUUCACUAAUGUAUGAAAAUGGCACCGAAUUUUGCCAUAUUAUACAUUACUUAUUCUACAUUGAUACAUAUGCUGUUCGUAACAAGUAAACACAAUGCUUCAUAUAUAAGUAAUAAACUUUGAAAAAUAAUGUGUUGUUGUGUUUAUAUAUUACUCCAAACAUGCCCCACUUUCAAAAAAUAUGUGAAUUUUCCAUGAAAUUUGAUACUUUAUUUAUGAUUUUCGCCUUGGCGGCAUCUUUUACCAGUCUUAAUAUUUUAACCACUACUUCGUACAUUAAAAACCAACAAAAAGUGCAAAAAUCAUUGCUGGUGAGCAAUGCCGCCAUAUUCAAAAACGAAAAAAAACGUCCGUCUCAGAGACACAUUUUUAUCCGAAAUUACACAAGCCUCGAUUUCGGUAAAAUGACGUUGAAGUUGACGUCACUUAAUUAGAUAUUUGUUUUUAUUAAUUUGUUUUUCAAGGAACAGCCAUUAGAGCUAGUGUUAAAAUCAAUAAUAUCGGACGAAGAUUUUUAAGUUUAAACGUUUCAACAUUUAGUGAAAUAUCAUAAACCUAAUGAGUGAAUUAAAGACUUGUUUCCCUUUGAAACCAACACGCCAUUACCGGUGAAUACAUGUCUGAAACUGGGUCAGCGAAUACAUGCAGUUAUUGCUCUGAAUAUACGCGGAUAUUUAAAGUGCAUGGUGGAUUUAAUAAUAGUUAUGGAUAACCUCCAGCAGUAAGAAAUAUAAAGGCUCACUGCAGUUAAAGUGCUUAACAGGUAUUGACCCCAUACUAUGCUCAACAAGUAGGGCCCUUGUAUUUCUGUGAAUUCUCAUGCAGUACAGUACUGCUGUUGGAAGAGGAGCAAACAGUGUGGUAUCUAUGGUCCACCAUCAUUUCAAGCAUCAUGGCUAUUGAGAAAAGAAUGUUUCAUUAGAUAUGGACAAUUAAAGUGGACAAAAUAAGAAAAGUGUUGUAAUAAGCUCUGGAAUGUGGAUUGUUAUGAUAGGUCUACAUGAUGACUUGGAGUACAACCUGAUUGAGUCCCGGCAUACAGAAUUCAGUCCUGAACAUGUUUAGAAUGAGAAUGUCUUCUGCAUGACGUGGUAUAGAUAGUAUUCUUGAAGGAUUAUAACUUCAACACAGAGACGGAGAUUUUUAGGCUGGGGGUUGGCAUGACAGGCAAAUUCACCAACCGUAUUACCAUUCCUGAGCUGGAUGCCAGUCGACAGUGGUACCUGUAUAAUGAAAUAGCGCCCCUUUGCAGCAACAGCAGUGUAUGCUCAAAACUAGCAGUGUCAAAGCCAUUAAAAUUGAUAAUUCAAGUCAUUUAAAACGAAGAAUGAAUGGAAAAAAGUGUUUAACAUUUAAAGUAAUACAGAGAAAGAGCUCUGAAAUUUUGAUUAAUUUGAAAGUGUUUUGAUUUUUUGAAGAUGUACUAGACCCAAAUUCCAUACAUUUGAAAAAGAACAAAUGAUAGAUAUAGUUUAUGUAAACAUUGAAUUAACAACUUUAUGGUGUCAACAGUACUAUGUAUUUGUUAAAUAUUGACUCACUAUAUACAUGUAAGGCUGAACACAGUAUAAAUGUGAAAUUCUUCUAAAACACUGGAAGAUUUUUCAACAAUAAUUGUAACAUAUAUGGUAGUAAUGUACAUUUUUUUUCAUUACGACAGUUGGAUUAUAUAGAUCUACGAAUAUUUUCUGCUGUAUUCAAACUGCAUGUAAUCAUUUCUGUCGGCAGAAUCAUGUUUAUUUUCCUUUUUCAUGAACAAUUAAUUUAACCUGUCUUGAAAGCACAAUAUAUGUAUAAUUUGUAAAACAUACAUUGGAUAAUUGUGGAAACAAUUUAGUUUUUGUAUGCCUAAUUAUAUAACAUUGCCGCUAGUACCAUCUAACUCUUUUAAUAUGAUCAAGACAUUUAAUAAGGCAGUUUUCUUAAACAAUUACUGUGUGUUAAAUGAGACUAUGUGGUAUUAUGUUUACGGAAUUAACUGCGUAACCAUGAAAACAUUUUUCUGUUGUUCUAUAUUAUGUCUUGAAAAAAUCAUUGUUUGAAGAACACUUUUUAGUGGUGCAUUUUUUUUUUAUUUUUACAUGUAAUGGUAAAUGCUGAAAGUGUUCUACAAUAACUUAGCAAAAACUUCAUUGUUGUCUCAUUGAAGCAUAUUCUGCAACUCCAUUGUAACCAUAGCAACAGAAAUAUAUUGUAUUAUUUAUGAAUAAUGAUCUUCACAAAUAAAUUACAUAUGUUAUUUUUCUUAAAGAAUGACCUAAAUUGGUUUUAUUCCAUAAAAAACAGACAUAGCAAAUAUUCUCAUUUUUAUCUCCGUUUCCAUGGCAACCAUAUAUUUUUUUGCCUCAAAUCAUAGGCGUUGCUUAGGGUUAUAUCUUAGGAUAUCUGAAUGUUAAUUAUACGUUCUGAUGUAAUUGUUAUAUGAGAUUUUCGUGUUUCCAUAAAGAAAAUCAAUCGGUUGUCAUGGCAACAGCACAAUUUCAAAUGAAUUAAAAUAUGAGAUUUUGCAUUCUGAGUUGUUGUUCAUUCAUUAUAAUAAUAUUUCAACAACAUUUGAUGUUGUGCC